GGGGCAGUUUAGUCAUUGAAUGUGUACCCCAACUUUCCCAGUUUGGGUCUUCCCCAAAAUACCCUUUUCAGCAACGGACACAAAGAAAUGAAGAAGGGGCAGUUUAGUCAUUGAAUGUGUAACCCAUAUUUCCCAGUUAGGGUUGUGCUAUACCACGCACCAGUAACCAACCUUUUUGUUGGGAAAUUGGCAUUUUGGUAAUUACGUGUCAACAUGGUAUCUCUCUAUAUUCUUCUAUUUAUAACAAUGACUUGUACCAGCACUAUCAUUACUCAUUAAUUCAUGGAUACCUACCUGUGAAAAUGUGUGAGAUUCAUCUUUUUAGAGAGGGAGAGAGAGAGAGAGAUACCUUCCAUGCAUAUGAUUCAUUUGGAUCCUCCUUGUAAUAUUUCUUGCUCAAAUGAGUAUUCCAAAGGCAGUGGCCUUCUUUGCAUCUACAACAAUUCUGUCUUUGUGUGCCAUAUGCAGCUAGCGCCCUUUCUGAUUCUUCCAUGACCCAGUACAUAUAUAUGUGUGCGUGUGUGUAUAUAUAUGUGAUGGUAGCGAUGUUUCACAACUUUCACAUAUUUAGAUUGUGAAGGAUUGGGUACUAUUGCUUCUGUUACAACCAGUCUUUCCAUCUCUGAAGUAUGUAUAUAUGGUGCUGCUGUUUCUGAGAUGCUCAUUUGGGCAAGCAACAUUAUGAGUGGAGGUCAUUAAUGGACUGUGAUAUAAAUGAUCUUCCCUUCUCUGAGUCAAAGGCAGAUAAGUUCUUCUACUUUUCUCACUCUCCUAAUUAAUUAAACAUGACAAUAUAUAUAUAUAUAUAUAUAUAUAUAUAUAUAUAUAUAUAUAAUUUUUGUAGUGGUGGUGUAUAUAGUACAUAAUAUUAGAAGUGGUAAAAGAGAUAUAUCUUGCCUCAAGUGGUUCAAAUUUCCAACAUACAUAUAGCACUGUAUUAUAUAUUGAUCUUAUCAUGAAAUUGACAUAUCAACCGGAUAGAGAUAUUAUAUACAUGUUUUUAUAUAUAUAUAUAUGUAUAUACUUCACUGGUUUAAUAAAAAACCAUAUUCUAUAUCAGUAAUCGUAUAAGAGAAGUACGAGAAUAUUCUCCAUCAUCAGAUGUCCAAUAUAUAGGAAUCAUAUAUCACCACAUCAUAUAUAUAUAUAUAUAUAUAUAUGCCUUGUGAGCUACCUAUAAUUUCAUGGGGUACCUUGAUGCCUUGUGGUCAAAACCUAGUAGCUAGGGCUACUGAAUUACAUCAACUACAGGAGGAAGAUAUAUCUAAUUAAAUACAUGAAAUUAAUAUCACUACUUUUUUUUUGGUAAGGUGAGUGAGUAUCUAGAUGGAAGAAACUAUACAAACAAGCACAGACAAUGUUGCUUGAAUUUCCACAAAAAAAAAAAAAAAAAAAAAAAAAAAGGCACCAACAAGGGUGCAAAGUGCAAACAGAAUUAAAAGCUACAAGUAACAAAACAUAUGUAAGUAGAUUCACCGAAAUAUAUAUAUAUAUAUAUAUAUAUAUAUGUAUUUUUUUUUCACUGUACUUGAAUAUAUGUUACUUCCUGUAGGGAACACAACGCUAAAGCAGAUUAAUUAGAAGACAAUGUAAUUAGAGGAUGCUGAUAGUCACUGUCACAAGGGACGACACGUGUCCGUACCGAAUAAUAACGUUGAUAGUCACUGCCACAAGGGACGCCACGUGUCCCUAAUGGAUAAUAAUAUUACCUGGCUAGUCACUGAAUGGCAGUACUGGGUCCUGCUUGACUUUACUCUGAAAGUCCUAAGAAUCUCGAACUAUUAGGGCCUGGUAUGUGAGCACCUGGGCUCAUAAGAGGAGGGGGUAGCUACCCCUCACUCUUUUGGUUUGGUGGUGCCUCGCUCCAGUCGAAUGGGCCCUGCCCUAACUCAAAGGCCUCUCGUUUCCUGCAAUACUUGGGAUAGGGGCCCGAGGUUCCUACAGGUUUUUUCUCCCCAAGCUGCCCGCUGUGGGGAGCUUGAGGAGUUGGAAAGUUGGAGGUGUUAGGAUUUAUAUGCCCUGGCAUAGCAAAUUCCUAUCUGCAUUAUAGUGACAUAUGUUCCUGACGUUUCUGAAAUAUUUAUGCUUUAUACAAUUGGUGAAUUCAAUGUAUUAUGUUUCGAUUUAUUAUAAAAUUGAUAGUGUCCACUUGAUUACAAGAGUUAUUUACAUAUGUAUGUGAUGGCGAUCAAUACAUGAAUAUAAAUAGUAAUUAUAAAUUGUUCAUAGUCGGUAAUUAUGGAUGGACUCAUAAUUAAUUAAGACUUAAACUGGAUCCGCGUUAGGUUGAGAUAUAUUGCAAGAGCCGUUGUAUGCAAUUGCUCUCUAUCACCGUCAUGUCAUUUGAUUCUUACGUAUGAGAAAAAUAUAGACUCUUUUAUUAAUUAAUAAUUACUUUGAUUUGUAAGGCGGAUUCUUCAGGAUCCUUAAACCGACACUUUAGGUAGUUAUGUAAUUAAUAGUUAGAGGGUUAUAUUUUCAAUAUUUGCAUCUUACUAUUUGUAUUUAUUUUGUAUUAAUUAUGGUUGAUCACAAAGUAAAUUCGAAGGCCUUCGUAUGUUUUUAGACGAAAUGAUUUAUAAUAUAUUUAUUUAUUUAAAUUAUUAUUUUUGUCUAACAAAUAUUUUAUUGUGAUCGAGCCAGAAAUAAUCAAAGGUACCAAAAUAAAUAUAUUAAUUAAGCAAUUAGAUUGAUGGCUUUAUAUAUCCGAUAACUAAUUAUGCAUAGAGGGGUCAAAGUGCAAUAUUGACUUAGAGGUUAUUUAUUAUUUAAUUAGAAUUCAAUUAAUUUCUUUUAGUGGAGUAGAAAUUAAUUUAUGAAUUAAUUGAAUUGGGUCCAUGGACCGGGCCAAUUAUUAAUUCAUUGUACCCAAUAAAAUAAUAAGCCUAAAGGAUUCUCACUCAUAGUCCAACUUGAUAUUGGAAUUCUAUUGAAUUUGAGAUAUGUGAAUUAGAGAUUGAGAAUGAUUUAUUAUUUCAUUUUUUUUUUUUAUCUUUAUGUUGCCUAUAUAUACAUGGUCUAUGUAUAUUUUAGGGUGAUUUUGGAUGAGAAGGAAUAAGAAAUAUAUUUUCUCUCUCUAGAAAAUUAGGGUUAGUGUUCUCAUCUAAUGGAGGCUCCCACAAGCCUAGUUUUCCAAGGUCAUUCAUGGAGGUUUAUAAGUGAUUCCUAAAGGCAAAAUAAUUACCAAGAAGAUGGAGAUCCAAGGAGAAGGCAUCUUGCUAAGGGAUUUACAAUAAGUGAGAACAUUCACUUUAGAGGAAAGAUUUAAAGGUUUACUCAGACUUUUCAUAUUUUCCGGCGACCGGAAGGUGGUCGGCGGAUAGGUCAGGGCUGGAGAUGAGGUGGCUAAUCCGGUGCGACGGGCUUCACAUGCGCGCAUAUCACUAGCCUUUAGAUUUCCAUCAGUGGCUGGAAAAGAUAGAGUGUAGCGCAGUUCAUGGAGGGUUCAAGGUGCUGCCAAUCCAGGAGAGAGUGGAUCUCACGCGCGGGGAAAGACAAUGUGCCCAACAGCCAUCUGGCGCGUGAUGAACACGCGCCAGUACUUCUUGGAAUAGCCAGAGCGUGGGAGCGCGUGCCACGCGCUGCAAUAGACCUAUGGGGCAUGGAGGCACGUGCCACGUGCUGUAGCCCUGUUUUGGCGCGUGCCAGCGCGUGCGUAGUCCUCCGGGCGCAUUCCAAGCUCUAUUUUGCUUCACCAGACGCGUACCAGCUUCCUACAGGUGUUGACAAGCCGAUUGAAGACACUCGCACAAUACUUAGAGCAGUUAAAUGUUAAAAGCUAAAUCCAUUGGCCAUUUAAUUUGCUUUAUCUGCCAUUAAUUUAUUUAUGUGAUGUAUGUCAUGCAUGGAAUAGAUAAUUGUUAAUUAAUUAUUAUUCAUGCAUUGGAUCCAUGAUAUUUAUUUAAA